CGAGCGAGAAGCUCCCCUUCGGGGGAGUGGAGAGCGGCGAAAGGGAGAGUAACGCGUGGAUACCUGCCCCCGGAUCCGGGAUAGCCGCGGGAAACUGGGGGUAAUACCGGAUGAUGUCUUCGGACUAAAGGUGAGAUUCCCUCCGAGGAUGGGUUCGCGUCCUAUUAUCUUGUUGGUGGGGUAAUGGCUCACCAAGGCGACCAUGGGUACCGGGCGUGAAAGCGUGGUCCGGCUCACUGGGACUGACACACUGCCCACACACCUACGGGUGGCUGCUAUCAACAAUCUUCAUGAAUGAGCGAAAGCCUGACCGAGCGACCCCGCGUGAGGGAUGAAGGCCCUCCGGUUGUAAACCGCUGACGGUUGGAAGGAAAUCGCAUGGGGCUAUCCUCAUGUGUUGACCCAUCUUCUGAGGAAGUGCGGGCUAAGUUCGUGCCAGCAACCGCGGUAACACGAACCGCACGAACGUUAUUCGGAAUCACUGGGCUUAAAGGGUGCGUAAGCGGUCUGUUAAGUUGGGUGUGAAAUCCCUCGAGCUCAACCGAGGAAUUGCGCCCAAUACUGGCACGCUUGAGGGAGACAGAGGUGAGCGGAACUCAUGGUGGAGCGGUGAGAAUGCGUCCAUAUCCUGAGGAACGCCUGUGGCGAAAGCGGCUCACUGGGUCUUUUCUGACGCUGAGGCACGAAAGCUAGGGUAGCGAACGGGAUUAGAUACCGCGGUAGUCGUGGUUGUAAACGUUGAGCACCGGGUCGUAGGAUUCUCCAUAGUUUUCUGGCCGUAGCGAAAGUGUUAAGUCCUCCGCAUGGGGAGUAUGGUCGCAAGGCUGAAACUCAAAGGAAUUGACGAGGGCUCACACAAGCGGUGGAGGAUGUGGCCUAAUUCGAGGAUACGCGUAGAACCUUAUCCUGGAUUUGACAUGCAUGGAUUAACUCUGUGAAAGCAGAGCCACGCCCUUUGGCUGGAACAUGCACAGGUGAUGCAUGGCCGUCGUCAGCUCGUGUCGUGAGAUGUCGGGUUAAGUCCCUUAACGAGCGAAACCCUUGUCAGUAGUUGCCAGCGGGUCAUGCCGGGGACUCUAGUGAGACUGCCGGUGUUAAACCGGAGGAAGGUGGGGAGGACGUCAAGUCCUCAUGGCCUUUAUGUCCAGGGCUGCACACGUCCUACAAUGGUGCGUGCAAAGGGAAGCGAACUCGCGAGAGCAAGCAAAUCUUAAAAAACGCACUUCAGUUCGGAUUGCAGGCUGCAACUCGCCUUCAUAAGCCGGAAUCGCUAGUAAUCGCGGGUCAGCAUACCCCGGUGAAUGUGUUCCUGAGCCUUGUACACACCGCCCGUCAAGCCACGAAAGCGGGGGGCAUCGGAAGUCGCCGAGGUAACCCGCCAGGG
rnacentral:rRNA from 1 species